GACGAACGCUGGCGGCGUGCUUAACACAUGCAAGUCGAACGGAAAGGCCCUGCUUUUGUGGGGUGCUCGAGUGGCGAACGGGUGAGUAACACGUGAGUAACCUGCCCUUGACUUUGGGAUAACUUCAGGAAACUGGGGCUAAUACCGGAUAGGAGCUCCUGCUGCAUGGUGGGGGUUGGAAAGUUUCGGCGGUUGGGGAUGGACUCGCGGCUUAUCAGCUUGUUGGUGGGGUAGUGGCUUACCAAGGCUGUGACGGGUAGCCGGCCUGAGAGGGUGACCGGCCACAUUGCGCCUGAGAUAGGGAGCAGACUCCUACGGGAGGCAGCAGUGGGGAAUAUUGCCCAGUGGGCGGAAGCCUGAUGCAGCAACGCCGCGUGCGGGAUGACGGCCUUCGGGUUGUAAACCGCUUUCGCCUGUGACGAAGCGUGAGUGACGGUAAUGGGUAAAGAAGCACCGGCUAACUACGUG
rnacentral:rRNA from 1 species